CAAAAACAUCGCCUCCUGCAAAAAUCAAUGUAUAAGAGGUCCUACCUGCCCAGUGACAUUUAGUUAAACGGCCGCGGUAUUUUGACCGUGCUAAGGUAGCGCAAUCACUUGUCUUUUAAAUGAAGACCUGUAUGAAUGGUGGAACGAGGGCUUAACUGUCUCCCUUUUCAGGUCAGUGAAAUUGAUCUGCCCGUGCAGAAGCGGACAUAAAAAUACAAGACGAGAAGACCCUUUGGAGCUUAAGACACAAGGUCAAUUAUGUCAAAAAUUCCUGUAAAUGGAAAUAAAACAGAGUACUAACUGACCAAAGUCUUCGGUUGGGGCGACCGCGGGGGAAAGUAAAGCCCCCAUGUGGAAUGGGAUAACCUAGAACCACGAGGGACACCUCUAAGUCACAGAACAUCUGACCAAAAGAUCCGGCACCUAAGCCGAUCAACGAACCAAGUUACCCUAGGGAUAACAGCGCAAUCCCCUCCAAGAGUCCAUAUCGACAAGGGGGUUUACGACCUCGAUGUUGGAUCAGGACAUCCUAAUGGUGCAGCCGCUAUUAAGGGUUCGUUUGUUCAACGAUUAAAGUCCUACGUGAUCUGAG
rnacentral:rRNA from 1 species